UGCAUAGUGGGCCUGCGGGAUGCUGGCGGGAUUGUUUCAAGAGGAAGCACCCAGGGAAAAUGCAACUCUACCGAGUGUGCAUGUCAAGAUCCAAGACCCAAGAACCAAGACCCCAAAAUACUGGGAAUGCAGUGCAGGCCAAACUUCCUGCAAGGAUGGUAGUUUCCCAGAUAAAUGUGGACAAACUCUACACGAAGACGCAUGAGAUGAGAGACGCGUAUGUGAAUCAGGUGACGAUCAAGCAUUUGGAAGUGAAGCAUUUCUCUCAGAAUGGUUCAGAGGGCAGUGUUGGGCAGUGCCCCAAUGCUAAUCCAACGAACACGUGGUGUAGCACCGACAUCCAGUGCGUAAUGGCGGACCAUACGGCCUUGUCAACCAUGUGGAAGUGGGCUAUAUGUCUUAUGUGUCGGGAUGUCCCUUUUUCUUUUAUCUGCCUAUAUGUCGUAUCUAAGUGGGAUCCUUGGAAGGAUACUGCAUGGAUAAAAUUAUGUUCAAUGUUUUAUGUGUCUUUUGUGUGGGUCUUUGUUAUGUACCGUCAUGAGCACACUGAAACAAAUCCCUAGCAACUUGUA
ensembl:lncRNA